rnacentral:rRNA from 1 species
AUGGAUGCGGCGGAUAGUGGGGGCCGGCGCGAGCGGAGAUGGAAGGGGAAGGCCGCGAGCUCGGCCGCGGAGAAGCAGCAGCAGCAGCUGGCGCCGGUUUUAGAAGACGCGCCGGCGGCCGCAUUGCUCCCGCCGCUGAAGAAGAUGCGGAGCCCCGACUGCCGCCUCCGCCGCUCCGUGUCCUCGCUGUCGUCGGCUCCUGCUUCCCCUGACUCCUCCUCUGUUUCCAACCCCCUCUCGCCGCCCGCGACGUCCUUGCCGCUCCACGCGUCGUCGACGCGGCAGAUAUUCCCGUUCGCGUACGAUCCGUCCCCGGCGGCGGCCCCGAGGCUCCUGCAGCUGUUGCGGUACUCCUCCAGCCUGUACCAACAGCCGAUGCUGCCGCAGCAGCUGCAGCAGCAGCAGCACACACCUUCGCAGCACCCGCAGAUGAUAUCCUUCGGCGAUGCCCAGCAGCAGCAGCAGCAGCAGUUCGAGGCGGCGGCGGCCUUGAUCCCGCCGCAGUACAUGGCGCCGGAGGCGCUGCGCUACUGGAGCGCGGCCCUGAACCUGAGCCCGCGAGGCGUGCUUGGCGGGGUCGUGCCGCCGGCGCUGUACCAGCACCUGCUGCGGCCGCCUGGCCCGGCCAAGCUGUACCGCGGCGUACGCCAGCGUCACUGGGGGAAGUGGGUGGCGGAGAUCCGCCUGCCACGGAACCGCACGCGCCUGUGGCUCGGCACCUUCGACACCGCCGAGGACGCGGCCAUGGCGUACGAUCGCGAGGCCUUCAAGCUGCGCGGCGAGAACGCGCGGCUCAACUUCCCCGACCUCUUCCUCGGCAAAGGCCGCUCCGGCGGCAGCGGCCGCACCAGCGCCAGCGCUGCGGCGUCGGCCUCCUCCUCCUCCACGUCCGCUCCGCCGACGCCGGACGAAACCCAUGCGCAGCAAGCUCAGCUGCUGCUCCAGCGUGAACAGCAGCAACAGCACACGGACGGGCAAGCGAACACUGGACCGAAACCUCCGCUCUCCGCAGCAGAGCAGGACGGCCAACCGGAACCAGAGCAAAAUCCUCAGCUCCAGAACGCAGAGCAACAUUGCAGCGACGGCAGCACGGCCAUGAUGCAGCAGGCUCCAGUGACCCCCGGCGGCGUCUGGGGCCCCGCCGACGACGCAUGGUUCAGCGCGUGGGGCCCGGGCAGCUCUGUCUGGGACUACGACAUGGACAGCGCUCAUGGCCUCUUACUCCAGUCUCGCUUCGCCGGUGAGCAGGCCGGCAUGGACUACGUCCCCAGUGCGCCGGAAGCCCACGUGGCACCGGCGGCAGGGACAGGCACGGCCUGUGGCGCUCCCCCUUCUCCUCUUCCUCCUCGUCCUCCCUUCAUGUGGAAGGACUAG